rnacentral:rRNA from 1 species
GACGAACGCUGGCGGCGUGCUUAACACAUGCAAGUCGAGCGGUAAGGCCCUUUCGGGGCGACACGAGCGGCGAACGGGUAGGAGUAACAACGUGGGUGGACCUCGCCCUCCAGCUCUGGGAGUAAGCCUCGGGAAACCGGGUACUAAUACUGGAUAUGACUCCAUGACGCAUGUUGUGGGGUGGGAAAGACCUUGUGCGG